ensembl:lncRNA
UGAACUCCUUUCCUUCCAUGCAAAUGUUAAUUUAGUUCGCUUUGUUUAGCUGCGAUGGCAACACAGUUUUUGGAAGUGUUUUGUGUGCGUGAGUCAUCAAUAUCUGAGUGAUGUUUCUAUUGUGCUCAUAUGCCAAUGGUCCUAAAAAGCAUCAGCAAUUCAUCUGUUCCAGCUGGGACGAGAAAGGCUGACAAACUGCAGUGCCGCAUCAAAAAGCGACUAAAAAUGGAAUCCUAGGGCCAUGUGAACAGCAAACUCUGCUCCUCAAAGCCUUGGAAAUGAAGCCCACCAGAAACCAGGCUCAGCUUUGGCCAGGAAGAUUUCAAAGUGAAUCCUGAAUGCCACUGGAAGAUGUAUAUGUGUCCGACAGCAUCCCUUGCUUCCCUGCUAUUCUGAAGCAAUAUCUAGCAGGAAGAAUACCCGCUCACCGCUGCUGGCUCUCAGUGGUCCCACAAGGAGGGCUGCCCGCUCUCUGCUGCAGCAGAGGCUCCAACAAGCGGCUGUCUUGCAGCUUGCAGCACCCACUGCAGCUCCGAGGAGGCCCCAGGCAGCAGCAGUGGGGCAGCAGUGCAGCCACUCCCGUCCCAAUGGGCGCAGGAUUUCCAUCAGCGCUCUGAUGUCUGGAUGGAAACUGGGACUGCAGCUCAUGCAUAUACAGACGGAGCUGCUGGACCAGUAAUUCUUCUGUCUCUUUUUCUACUUCUAAGACAUAGCUCUGAAUUGAAUCCCUGAAAAUGGAAGGUCCGGGCCUCAGAAGCAGGGUGACGAUUUGGAGGAUGCGUGGCUCUCCCCUCACUGCAGAGGAGGGAGGGGUUCUGUCCUUCGGGGGGACAUUCCAGUUUGGGGUAAUGCAGUGGAAACACCAUGUGUGUCCUUUUUCAUUCAAAUUACACACAAAAAAAUUGUGAUACGAGUCAUGAGCAAAGGCAGAACAGAGCCUACAGUCUUUAAUCUUUAAAAUCUAUUUUACAUGAUUAAAAGGAUCCUGCCUGGAGAAAAGCAAGACUGGCUAUUUAUAUCUCCAUUCUUCUCCCCCCUCUCUUUUUUCCUCAGAAAAUACUGUGCAGUCUUUCACAUCUGAAAGACCACGGCUGGCUGCCAUUAAUUUUAAUGCUAAAUCCUCAUCAGCAUUUCAAAACAUUAUGAAAAUGUCGAAGAAACUGUCUUCUAGUAGCAUGAAAAUAUGGCAGGCAGCAACCUAAAUAAUACUGUAAGUGCCCUGGUAAGUACAAGAGCACAUGCUGGAAAGGAAAAGAGAAAAAGAAAAGGCUUUAGACCACCACGCAAACAUCACCUCUACAAAGCAGGCGUAAAUGGAUUGCAGGAUUUCAUGGAUGCUGAGAGUUUGAAUUACUGACUGAGCUGCACCUCUCUGAGAGAGAACGUGGCUUUUUUUUUAGGGAAUGCAUCAAAUAUUGAAUGCUGCUGUUUGCUGUGCAGUCCGCUCUGUGGACAAGUGCAUAAAUAACCUUACAUGUAGGGUCCUGUUUUGGCCAGCAAACGCAAUUAAAGGAAUGGAAUAUGUCAUGGACUAUAAUAUUAGUGCUCUAUUCUGCUGCAUUUGCAAAGAUGAUGGAUGCCAAUUAAAUUGAAAUCAAUGGCCACGGGCUAAGCAAAUGAUGACUCUGAUCAAAGCAUUCUUCCUUAGCAAAGCAGUAAAUCAGCUCCUAAAAUGAAAUACAUGUUCUUCAUGGUUCUGCUUAAAAUUAAGCACGUGCUUAAGAAACUCCCUGUUUAGGGAAGAGCUGGAAAAUGCUUCUUGGGGUUUAGUUUUUAACUGGGAGUAUCUGUGCUUACCUGGCUCUGCGUGGAUGGCAUUUAUAGGGACAGUGAUACACGCACCAAGUUUCAGUGGGGUUUCAGGACCCGCUCCUGCUGUCUCACGCUCGGUUGUAUUUAUAGCAGUCCAGCAGGAUGGGGAACUGCGCCAGGAUUUCAGUGCUAUUCCUGCUUUCUUUCAUGUUGAGGCUUUUCCUGGAGUUUGCCCUUCGAUGGGACGGAGCACUGAGGCUGCCCCUCCUCUCCUCCCUCGGCAGUACGUGGGAUGCUACCACGUGGGGUGACUCUCAUAUGGUCAGUAUGGGAUUUCCUUCACCUUGAGAACCAGCUUUUGAGUAACCCCACGUCUUCCUGCUUUUCUAAGAAUUCGAGUUAUUUUUCUAACUUUUUUUUUUUUUUUUACCCUUUUCUUCCUGGAAGAGAUUUGGAAACGUAAAGCUGCACUUUGAAAAUGAUUCUUAAAUAAUUAUAAUGAUGAUGAUAUUCUCCAAGGGGGAAAAGCUGACUGUUCUGCCCAGCAGUGAGUGGGACAAGCACCAUCUCCAAGCAAAAGCCAUUAAAAAGCUUGGCUUUGCUGGGAAAUCUCAGGCUUUGCUGGGAAAACGUACCGCCAAAGGCAGAGAUGGGAAACUUUCAGCCCCUGUGCUGCUUUUUCUCUUUUUGAUUAAAUACCAGGUUGAAGUAUCAUCAACAGUGCGGGUUCUGAAGAAUACAUGAGAAUGCACUUGAGGUUAGAAAGCUUGUCUUUUGUUCAGUGUUUUUUUUUUAAAGCCACUAGACUGUUCUUGAAAUGAAUCACCGAGUGGGUGAGAUGGAGGCUGGAGGUGCACACCGCGUUUUCAUCCCAGCUCCUCGCAGCCCAGGUAUGCUGUCAAGCCUCACCUCCGAGAAGCACUUCUCCUCCUGCACGGCUCUCCGUGGUGGCAUCAUUAACGGUGAUGGCUAUAAUUGACUACAAAGAGCGGACCUUUAGUCCCCACCUGAUCUUUUGGAGUGUUAAUACACUGCGAGCCUGACCACGCGGCAGACUAAUGAGCAUCACACUUGACAAAUAUUGUCAUGCCUAAACAGGAGAUAAUGCUUCUGCUAAGACAAGCAGCAGGCCUGGGGGCACGUCACGCUCAGAUAGGAAAGUUAGGAACUAAUAUUAUCUUCUGCUCUCUGGGUCUGAUCCAGAUCCCCAGUGCCAGUGAAGGCUUUCGGCUGUGAGCUUUGCAUCUCGAAUAAGGAGCCCUUAAGCAAGCAGCAAAAUCAAAUGGCAGAAAGGCAUCGUGCGAUGGAAUAGUGUAAUGAUGAAUUUCUCCAUAAUAACAGACUGUAUGGUAACUGCUGAGUCACGGCCUGAAGCACUGAUUGAGCACCUGGGAAAAGGACCCGGUCAGCCCUGGGAGCACAGGGACACAGUGAGCAGCACCAUGAGUGACAUCACAAUCCUGCAGAGUCACACUGUCUGC